rnacentral:rRNA from 1 species
AAUAUUGGACAAUGGGGGCAACCCUGACCCAGCCAUGCCGCGUGUGUGAAGAAGGACUUCGGUUUGUAAAGUACUUUAAUUUGGGAGGAAGGGCUUAGGUUAAUACGCUGAAGUUUUGACGUAACCAACAGAUUAAGCACCGGCCAACUCCGUGCAGGCAGCCGCGGUAAUACAGGGGGUGCAAGCGUAAAUCGGAAUUACUGGGCGUAAAGCGCGAGUAGGUGGUUCAGUAAGAUGGGUGUGGAAUCCGCGGGCUUAACCUGGGAGCUGCUUUCAUAACUGCUGAGCUAGAGUACGGUAGAGGGUAGUGGAAUUUCCUGUGUAGCGGUGAAAUGCGUAGAUAUAGGAAGGAACACCAGUGGCGAAGGCGACUACCUGGACUGAUACUGACACUGAGGUGCGAAAGCGUGGGGAGCAAAC